CGAGUUGGCUGGGCGGUCGCGUCGAGGCUCCCCCGGGAGCCCGCCGAGGAACGUCCGGACUCCGCAGAGCAGGGUGGUUGCUAACGGCAACCCGGGGUGACCCGCGGGAAAGUGCCACAGAGAACAAACCGCCGGCCCGUCUUCGGGCCGGUAAGGGUGAAACGGUGGGGUAAGAGCCCACCAGCACCCCGGGCGACCGGGGUGGCUAGGUAAACCCCACCCGGAGCAAGGCCAAGCAAGGCCCGGGCCGCAAGACCCGAGCCGGCGCAGGCGUCCGAGGGCUGCUCGCCCGAGCCUGCGGGUAGGCCGCAAGAGCAUGCCGGCAACGGCACGCCGAGAUGGAUGACCGCCCAGCGGCGACCACAGUCGCCGCGGACAAAAUCCGGCGUACAGGCCGACUCGUCCG
rnacentral:RNase_P_RNA from 2 species